GCCUCUGUGGUCUAGUGGUAGAACACGCGUUCUCGGAUAGGAUCAAACGAGAGUUUAAUUCCCGCCUGAGGCU